rnacentral:rRNA from 1 species
GCAGCAGGCGCGAAACCUUUACACUGCACGACAGUGCGAUAAGGGAACUCCGAGUGCGAGGGCAUAGAGCCCUCGCUUUUGUACACCGUAAGGUGGUGUACGAAUAAGGGCUGGGCAAGACCGGUGCCAGCCGCCGCGGUAAUACCGGCAGCCCAAGUGAUGGCCGAUAUUAUUGGGCCUAAAGCGUCCGUAGCUGGCCGGACAAGUCCGUUGGGAAAUCCGCGCGCUCAACGCGCGGGCGUCCAGCGGAAACUGUCCGGCUUGGGGCCGGAAGACCUGAGGGGUACGUCCGGGGUAGGAGUGAAAUCCUGUAAUCUCGGACGGACCGCCUGUGGCGAAAGCGCCUCAGGAAGACGGACCCGACAGUGAGGGACGAAAGCCAGGGUCUCGAACCGGAUUAGAUACCCGGGUAGUCCUGGCUGUAAACGAUGUCCGCUAGGUGUGACGCAGGCUACGAGCCUGCGCUGUGCCGUAGGGAAGCCGUGAAGCGGACCGCCUGGAAGUACGUCGCA